AUUCCAGCUCCAAUAGCGUAUAUUAAAGUUGUUGCAGUUAAAAAGCUCGUAGUUGGAUUUCAGUCUUAAUUCGUCUGGCCCGCUCCCUUGAGGAGCCGAGUGCCGGUUGCGAAUUGGACUUCCUUCUAGCAUGAAUUUCCUACCGUUAUGCGGCCGGGAAGGACAUCUGGAUCAUUUACUUUGAAGAAAUUAGAGUGUUCAAAGCAAGCUUACGCUGUGAAUAUAUUAGCAUGGAAUAAUAACAUAGGACUCGGGUUCUAUUUUGUUGGUUUCUAGGACUCAAGUAAUGAUUGAUAGGGACAGUUGGGGGUGCUGCUAUUAUAUGGCCAGAGGUGAAAUUCACGGAUUCAUAUAAGAGCAACUUAUGCGAAAGCAUUUACCAAGGAUGUCUUCAUUA
rnacentral:rRNA from 1 species